rnacentral:rRNA from 1 species
ACUGCUCAGUAACACGUGGAUAACCUGCCCUUGGGUCCGGCAUAACCCCGGGAAACUGGGGAUAAUUCCGGAUAACGCACAUAUGCUGGAAUGCUUUAUGCGUAAAAUGGAUUCGUCUGCCCGAGGAUGGGUCUGCGGCCUAUCAGGUAGUAGUGGGUGUAAUGUACCUACUAGCCAACAACGGGUACGGGUUGUGAGAGCAAGAGCCCGGAGAUGGAUUCUGAGACAUGAAUCCAGGCCCUACGGGGCGCAGCAGGCGCGAAAACUUUACAAUGCGGGAAACCGUGAUAAGGGGACACCGAGUGCCAGCAUCAUAUGCUGGCUGUCCGGGUGUGUAAAAUACACCUGUUAGCAAGGGCCGGGCAAGACCGGUGCCAGCCGCCGCGGUAACACCGGCGGCCCGAGUGGUGAUCGUGAUUAUUGGGUCUAAAGGGUCCGUAGCCGGUUUGGUCAGUCCUCCGGGAAAUCUGAUAGCUCAACUAUUAGGCUUUCGGGGGAUACUGCCAGACUUGGAACCGGAAGAGGUAAGAGGUACUACAGGGGUAGGAGUGAAAUCUUGUAAUCCCUGUGGGACCACCUGUGGCGAAGGCGUCUUACCAGAACGGGUUCGACGGUGAGGGACGAAAGCUGGGGGCACGAACCGGAUUAGAUACCCGGGUAGUCCCAGCCGUAAACGAUGCUCGCUAGGUGUCAGGCAUGGCGCGACCGUGUCUGGUGCCGCAGGGAAGCCGUGAAGCGAGCCACCUGGGAAGUACGGCCGCAAGGCUGAAACUUAAAGGAAUUGGCGGGGGAGCAC